GACGAACGCUGGCGGCGUGCUUAACACAUGCAAGUCGAACGAUGAAGCCGGAGCUUGCUCUGGUGAAUUAGUGGCGAACGGGUGAGUAACACGCGAGUAACCUGCCCUUGUCUCUGGGAUGACUGCGGGAAACUGUAGAUAAUACCGGAUACGACCCUCGGAGGCAUCUCCCGGGGGUGGCAAGAAUUUCGGUCAAGGAUGGACUCGCGGCCUAUCAGCCAGUUGGUGAGGUAAAGGCUCACAAAGGCGACGACGGGGAGCCGGCCUGAGAGGGUGACCGGCCACACUGGGACUGAGACACGGCCCAGACUACUACGGGAGGCAGCAGUGGUGAAUAUUGCACAAUGGGCGCAAGCCUGAUGCUGCAACGCCGCGUGAGGGAUGACGGCCUUCGGGUUGUAAACCUCUUUUAGCAGGGAAGAAGCGAAAGUGACGGUACCUGCAGAAAAAGCACCGGCUAACUACGUGCCAGCCGCCGCCGUAA
rnacentral:rRNA from 1 species